rnacentral:rRNA from 1 species
AGUGAACGCUGGCGGUAGGCCUAACACAUGCAAGUCGAACGGCAGCACAGUAAGAGCUUGCUCUUACGGGUGGCGAGUGGCGGACGGGUGAGGAAUACAUCGGAAUCUACUUUUUCGUGGGGGAUAACGUAGGGAAACUUACGCUAAUACCGCAUACGACCUACGGGUGAAAGCAGGGGAUCUUCAGACCUUGCGCGAUUGAAUGAGCCGAUGUCGGAUUAGCUAGUUGGCGGGGUAAAGGCCCACCAAGGCGACGAUCCGUAGCUGGUCUGAGAGGAUGAUCAGCCACACUGGAACUGAGACACGGUCCAGACUCCUACGGGAGGCAGCAGUGGGGAAUAUUGGACAAUGGGCGCAAGCCUGAUCCAGCAAUACCGCGUGGGUGAAGAAGGCCUUCGGGUUGUAAAGCCCUUUUGUUGGGAAAGAAAAGCAGCAGGUUAAUACCCCGCUGUUCUGACGGUACCCAAAGAAUAAGCACCGGCUAACUUCGUG